GGGCCCGUAGCUCAACGGCAGAGCAGCGGACUCAUAAUCCGUUGGUUGCAGGUUCGAAUCCUGCCGGGCCCA
rnacentral:tRNA from 1 species